CGGGGUGUGGCGCAGCUUGGUAGCGCACCUGCUUUGGGAGCAGGGGGCCGCAGGUUCAAAUCCUGUCACCCCGACC
rnacentral:tRNA from 1 species